CAGCAGCCGCGGGAAUACGUAGGGUGCGAGCGUUAAUCGGAAUUACUGGGCGUAAAGCGUGCGCAGGCGGUUGUGUAAGACAGGUGUGAAAUCCCCGGGCUUAACCUGGGAACUGCGCUUGUGACUGCACAGCUAGAGUAUGGCAGAGGGGGGUGGAACUCCACGUGUAGCAGUGAAAUGCGUAGAGAUGUGGAGGAACACCGAUGGCGAAGGCAGCCCCCUGGGCCAAUACUGACGCUCAUGCACGAAAGCGUGGGGAGCAAACAGGAUUAGAUACCCGCGUAGUCCCUGUCUCUUAUAC
rnacentral:rRNA from 1 species